UACCUGAUCUUCGGCGCGUGAGCCGG
rnacentral:tRNA from 1 species